CGGUCCGUCAUUCCGCAGGAUUCUGGGUGUUUUUCACGGAAGCGUUAUUUGGCGAAAACUCCGUUUAUAGAAAGCGCUGCACUUCUAAUCUGUCGUCCCGGAAUACAAAUCGUCUGCCGCUUGCGUCGCUGCACCUCCUUAGCGACCGAAUGCGGUCACGGCAGCGUCUGAUCAUCUUCUGGGGAAAAAGGCGGGUGCCUCUGUUUGAUAAGAUCCGGCGCGUGCCGGUACCCCCAGCGCCAGUGAUGCUGGCUCUGUGUUUAAUCCACCAUAUCUGAUCGCAUCGCGGCCUAACUUUCCGUCACGCGCCGUAGCGCCACUCAACACGCCGCCGGUUUGUUUUAACCCGACGAGGGCAAGGAUGCAAACAUCUGUCGGACAUAAAUCACAGGCUUUUUCCGCUCCUGUCUGCUCGAGCACAGAAACCGGACAGAAAAGCCUGGAUUCCGUCUCACGAUGGACGUCCAUCCCUGAAGACCCUGUGGGGAUCUCGACAGACCAAAAACAGCAUCCUUUCAGCCGAGGCUUUCAAACGGCGACCAGGAGCUGACAGCCACUCCGAAGCGCGUGUCUUUCUGCUCGCACGCCUUUGAAAAGCUGUCAUUUCCGGGCCGUCACGACGCGUCGCAGCCCUGUAACGGGAUCAGCCAGUCGACUCCGCCCACUGCCGGCUCAUUAAGUAGGAGAUUAACUGCAGACGAGCCCAAGCUAAUGGUGCCACAGAAUCUGGCGGACCUCUCCUGGACAGGAAGGAAAACGCCCUCCUCUCCCGCAUGCUGCCGUUCCUGUUUCCCAUCAUGCCUUGUCACAUCAUUCAGCCGGACCGCCUAAAUGGACCCCUUCGAAGAUGAGAGCCACGCACGGCAUGAAUUAAUGAUGGCGGGGGAGACCGCAGCGGCGCAGCCGGCGUUCCCCCAAGCCACCAACGUGUUAUUUACUGCGACGUUUUAUCCAUUUAUCCCCUUAAAACCCUCGCUUGAGUGUGACUGUUGCUACCACGGUAAGAGGUUUGCUAAUCCUCCCUGGUCGAGAAUAAAAGAAAGUCUUUCCCCCUCCAGGCUGCAGGGGGCCAGCAAUGAA